UACGGAGGGUGCGAGCGUUGUCCGGAAUCACUGGGCGUAAAGGGCGCGUAGGCGGCCUGAUAAGUAGGGGGGUGAAAUCCUGCGGCUUAACCGCAGGGCUGCCUUCUAAACUGUCAGGCUGGAGCACAGUAGAGGCAGGUGGAAUUCCCGGUGUAGCGGUGGAAUGCGUAGAGAUCGGGAAGAACAUCAGUGGCGAAGGCGGCCUGCUGGGCUGUUGCUGACGCUGAGACGCGAAAGCGUGGGGAGCAAACAGG
rnacentral:rRNA from 1 species